rnacentral:ncRNA from 2 species
CUCUUAUCGAGAGUGGCGGAGGGAACAGGCCCGAUGAAGCCCGGCAACCAGCCUGUCCUUAAGAGGCAGGCCAGGUGCCAAUCCCUGCAGGGAGAAGAGCCGAAAAGGCAUUCUCACCUGGUGGAUAAGAG